GUGGCAGACGGGUGAGUGACGCGUGGGAACGUACCUUUCACUACGGAAUAGCUCUGGGAAACUGGUGGUAAUACCGUAUACGCCCUCCGGGGGAAAGAUUUAUCGGUGAAAGAUCGGCCCGCGUUGGAUUAGCUAGUUGGUGAGGUAAUGGCUCACAAAGGCGACGAUCCAUAGCUGGUCUGAGAGGAUGAUCAGCCACACUGGGACUGAGACACGGCCCAGACUCCUACGGGAGGCAGCAGUGGGGAAUCUUGCACAAUGGGCGAAAGCCUGAUGCAGCCAUGCCGCGUGAAUGAUGAAGGCCUUAGGGUUGUAAAAUUCUUUCGUCAGGGAUGAUAAUGACCGUACCUGAAGAAGAAGCCCCGGCUAACUUCGUGCCAGCAGCCGCGGUAAUACGAAGGGGGCUAGCGUUGUUCGGAAUUACUGGGCGUAAAGCGCACGUAGGCGGACUUUUAAGUCAGGUGUGAAAUCCCGGGGCUCAACCUCGGAACUGCAUUUGAAACUGGAAGUCUGGAGAUCAGGAGAGGUUAGCGGAAUACCGAGUGUAGAGGUGAAAUUCGUAGAUAUUCGGUGGAACACCAGUGGCGAAGGCGGCUAACUGGACUGAUACUGACGCUGAGGUGCGAAAGUGUGGGGAGCAAACAGGAUUAGAUACCCUGGUAGUCCAC
rnacentral:rRNA from 1 species